CAGCAGCCGCGGUAAUACGGGGGGAGCAAGCGUUGUUCGGAUUUACUGGGUUUAAAGGGCGCGUAGGCGGCGUGACAAGUCACUUGUGAAAUCUCCGGGCUUAACUCGGAACGGUCAAGUGAUACUGUCGUGCUAGAGUACAGAAGGGGCAACUGGAAUUCUCGGUGUAGCGGUGAAAUGCGUAGAUAUCGAGAGGAACACCUGCGGCGAAGGCGGGUUGCUGGGCUGAUACUGACGCUGAGGCGCGAAAGCCAGGGGAGCGAACGGGAUUAGAUACCCCGGUAGUCCUGGCCUUAAACGAUGAAUGCUUGGUGUCUCGGGUUAUAAAGUCCCGGGGUGCCGUCGCUAACGCUUUUACAAUUCCGCCUGGGGAGUACGGUCGCAAGACUGAAACUCAAAGGAAUUGACGG
rnacentral:rRNA from 1 species